rnacentral:rRNA from 1 species
GACGAACGCUGGCGGCGUGCUUAACACAUGCAAGUCGAACGGUAAGGCCCUUCGGGGUACACGAGUGGCGAACGGGUGAGUAACACGUGGGUGAUCUGCCCUGCACUUCGGGAUAAGCCUGGGAAACUGGGUCUAAUACCGGAUAGGACUCCUGGCUUCAUGGUUGGGGGUGGAAAGCUUUUGCGGUGUGGGAUGGGCCCGCGGCCUAUCAGCUUGUUGGUGGGGUAAUGGCCUACCAAGGCGACGACGGGUAGCCGGCCGGAGAGGGUGACCGGUCACACUGGGACUGAGAUACGGCCCAGACUCCUACGGGAGGCAGCGGUGGGGAAUAUUGCACAAUGGGCGCAAGCCUGAUGCAGCGACGCCGCGUGAGGGAUGACGGCCUUCGGGUUGUAAACCUCUUUCAGCUAUGACGAAGCGCAAGUGACGGUAGUAGCAGAAGAAGGACCGGCCAACUACGUGCCAGCAGCCGCCGUAA